rnacentral:miRNA from 1 species
GAAAAUGGUCUCUAAACUAUGAGC